GAGUGAGACACUCAGAGGCUAGUGAGCCUAAGGUCACAGAACUAAUAACAUUUCAAACCCAGUUUAUGGAUUUUCCUACUAAUCUUAAGCAAUGAGCUAGAUUUGCAUUUCUUUAAACACCAGAAUUUAUGCAUCUGAAUGAUUAUUAAAUCUCCUUCCCAAUGGUCACAUGUUGAUACAUAGUGGUCACAGGUUGAUACAAUGUUGAUUCAUCACGCAGAGUUAUGGUACGUGUACCACUGCUCCAAUGACAACUAUGUGCGCUGAAUGAACAAACUUGCAUUUGUGGAAGCCAGUGGCUCUUCCAAAUCCAUAGGAUGGUCUUUGAAUUUUUUUAGUGGUUGCAAACCUUUGUCCUCAAUAGUUGAGAUCUCUGUAGCUGGGCAAUUUUUCUGUUCCACUUUGCUUUAAAUCACAGAUUUGUUCAUUCAGCAAAAUACGAUUAAGCACUUUUUAUCUUAGUCAGCUGGGCGCUCUCUCCCACACAUCAGCCUCCAGGUCAGUGGGGAGCUGGCUCCAUCAUAUCACUGGGGCCUCAGCUGAAACAGCUCGUCUCUGCACCAUGGGGUCUCUCAUCGUCCAGGAGGCUUGUCUGGGCUUCUUCAUAUGGCAGUCUCAGGGUCCAAAGAGCAGCAUGAGAGGACAAGCCUUAAAGCACAAACAUUACAAAUCUCUAAUUGAAUUAUAUUUGUUGUUUUCCCAGCAGCCAAACAAGUCAUGCCCAAGCCCGGAAUCAGUUCAGAGGGCGACCAACCAAGAAGACAGACCCAGGGAGGUGUGGACACACUGGCAUCCACAAGUGCAAAAAUCAGUUCUCCUGGGGAUUCAAGGAAGAGCAUGCUGACAAUGUCCCUGCCCUCUUGAAACUCGUUUCUUCACAUCCUUCAUCAGCACUUGCUGUUUUUCACCUUCCUAGUUUUUGCCAGGCAGAUAAGCCAGAAUUCCUGUGUGGUUCUAAUUUAUCUGAUUAAUGGUGAGGACAAAGAUUUCUUUAUAGACUUAAUAGCCUUCUAUGAAUUGCCUUUUUGUGUGUCUUGCUUAUUUUCCCAUUGGAUUUCCUGUAUGUUUCUUACUGACUGUAGGAGUUGCUUGUGUAUUGGAUAACAAGCCCAUUUAUUCAUAAAUAAAGGAAGCUUUGUAAUGGCCAAAAAGCCCUUUAGCCUGUUAAAGCAGAAUUGUCACCAUUGUAUAUUAUUUUAUUUUGAAUGGGUCAUACAUAUGUAUAAAACAUAUACAUAAAAUGUAAAUAAUAGUUAUAAAUAAAGACUCAGAUGCCACUGCUUCAGUGAUGGCCUCAACACCAUUUAUUAUUCAUCUCUGACUAGAGAUGUCGCCUUUAGCAUACACUAUGGACAUCUGUAUACUUAGAUCUAUUUCUAGAGUUUCUAUUUUAUUUUCCAUUUUUGGAUGUCUUUAUCAAGAAUGAAUGUUGAUUUUUUUCAAAUGCCUUUUCAGCUUAGGUGGAGAUGGUCAUAUGACUUUUCUCCUCCUAUUGAACCACUCUUUUGCCUGCCUGGAAUAAACUCCCUUUGAUCAUGUUAUCUCAUUAUUUUAAUGUGCUGUGGAACUCUUCUGGCUGAUAUUUAACUUAGGAUUUUCCCUCAACAUCUCAGGUUGGUGGGCAUCGCAAGAUGUUCCUGUCUUCAGAGAAUUGCCCUUGGCCAAAUGGAAGCAGCCUGGGCCAAUCAUUUACACAUUCCCAACUGGAGACAGCUCACAACUUGUAACUGGCUGGCAUGGGAGUGCAGAGGUCCAGCCCUUGGCUUCAAGAACAUUCUUCCUUCUUUCCCUGCAAUACCCUCACAGACGGUGAAUCCCAGUUCCUCCGCCUCCUUCCAAGCACUGAGACAGCCCUGAACAGAUUGUGAAGGCUGCUUUGGGAAAGGAAACCAGCAAGUCUCAGCCUCAUGGCUUAAGCGGGGAUUCAGGCUCUCGUGCAGGAGGCGUGAUUGCCAGCGAAGCACCAGGCACGCUGCUGGUGGCUCUGUGGCAGAAGCGACACAGCAUGUCUCCAGCGUCCAACACGUGGCAUUCCCUCAGGCCAGCCUGCUUGCCCCCACACCCCUCAUCCCGCAUCCCCAUCUGGUCGCUCAUCACAAUGGCUUUGCUGACUUCAUGCUCAAUGUCUUGGGCCUUCCUGCUGUGGGCCAUGGGACCUUAUUUAGAGCCAUUUCUUCCCACCAAGGAGUUAAUCAUACGUAUUUUCAACAAUACAACCAUCUGGACAUCUGACACCAGUCACCAAGUAAUUAGUGGGAAAUGUUACAACAUAUCCAGGGAUAUUUAAUAAAUAUUUCUUGAAUGAAUUAAGGAGGCUCAGCAACUCCACAUAUGCUCACACCAGAAGAGGAUGACAGAGAAGCUUCUUGUACUUCCCUGGGCCCCUCCUAAGUACCUUUGAAGGUACAACCCCAAACUGAAAGCAACCUAAAUACAGUUUUGUAAAAAAUAAUGUGCUACACAUAGUUUAAAAAUAUAUAGUAAUAAAGGUAAAUUACACUUAUAAUAUGGUUGAAUUUUAGAGACACAAGGAAGAAAAGCCAACUCACUGGAAUAUAUCUUAUAUUAUCCCAAAUUAAAUAUAAAUACAAACAUGUGUCACUUAACAACAGGAAUAUGUUCUGAGAAAUGCAUCCUUGAUCAAUUUUGUCAUUGUGUAAACAUUACAGAUUAUACUCACACAAAUCUAUGAUGAAGCCUACUAUAGAUCUAGGCUAUAUGAUAUAUCCUCUUACUUCUAGGCUACAAACAUGUACAGUAUAUUGCUGUACUGAAUGCUAUAGGCAAUUGUUUAACACAAUGGUAAACAGUUAUGUAUAUAAACAACGAAAUAUAGAAACGGUAUAGUGAAAAUACAGUAUUAAAUAUAAAAAAAGUUACACAUAUGAGGCAUUUACUAGAAGUUUCUCUGGGUGCAUCAGUGAGUGAGUGGUAAGUGAAUGUCAAGGCCUAUGACAAUACUGAACACUACUUUAGACUACAAAAACUGCACACUUAAACUACAGUAUGUUUAUUUUUGAAAUUUUCUUUCUUAAUAAUAAAUUAACCUGACCUUACUAUAACUUAACAUAUAAACUUUUAAUAUUCUUAAUUUUUUUCAUUCUUUUGUAAUAAUACUUAAAAACAUGUGAGUAAUGCAUUGACUGCAAUAUUACUACUACCAAGUCACAACUGUUACUAUGUCAUUAGGGGUCAGCAAUUUUUCAACUCCAUUAUCAUCUUAUGGGACUACUGUUAUAAUACAUCGUUGACUGAAACAUCAUUAUGUGGUACAUGACUGUACAUGUGCAUAUGUGUAUAUAUACACAUACACACACUAAUAUGUAUGCAUAAUAAGAUAUUGAAAUUGAAACUAUAAAAGAAGGAAAGAAAUUGAAUACUAUAAAAUUAGAACAGAGGUUACUGCUGAGGAAAGGGAGGGAGGUUAUGAUACUAAAGAGAUAUGCAGCAACAUUUGGGGUUGUUGCAUUCCUCUGACAACACUAUACAGGUUGUCUAUAUAGUAACCCUUGUGUCCCAUCCUUGGGGGACUCAUCUCAAUCUCCCUACUCCUCUUCAGCAAUCUCAUCCCUUAUCUCUGCUCAAAGCAUCACCUGUAUUCCAAUAAUUGCCAAUAUUUAUUUCUAGCCCACAGCACUUCCCCCAGCAGACCUGAAAAUCAAACUUUCUGAUGGUCAUUCCCAUCAGAUAUCCACAGGCAUCUCAACCUUAGCAUAUCCAACGCUUAAUUCUUUAUUUAUUUAUUUAUUUA